rnacentral:lncRNA from 12 species
UCAUCUUUUAAAAAAGUUUAACAACAACAAAAGAGAACAUUGAAGGGAACAGAACUCCACUGAGGACUUUGGCAUUGGAACAUACCUAUAAUUUAUCUUUG